GUGGAACUGAAAGCCUUGGUUCCCAGGAGCUCAAGCCCACUGGGACCAACAACAGAACGAAGGGAGUUUGCCUACAAUUUAUGACAAGCAGGCAGCCCAUCUCCAUGGCCUGAGCUGCAUAAUAAGCAGGAAGAUGAAGCAAAAGGGUUGGCCCUCCAGUGUCAGAGAAGAUGAACAAAGCUUAUUAAUGCAUGGUAAUACCAGCGUGAUAUCAGAACAGCUUCCCCCAGCAACAACCCAGUUCUCUCACUGUGAUGAAGUGCUCUGCCUUCUGCCUCAGACUUUAGCCACUUGGGAUCUGCAUUAUUGCCUUGUAAAAUUGAUGGGCAGUGGCACAAUCUCCUAGUUUAAGGAAUUUCUGUUAGCAUUAGCAAAAUGCAAUGGCUUUGCAAUUUCUAAGGGCAUUCCUUGCAAUAGGAAAGUGAAUAAAAAUUGGGCCAGACUGGAACAAUGCCCAUCUCUAAUCCCUGUGGCUCCCCUGCUCAGUCUCCUCCAUGUCAUCAGCAGCAGGUGUGAGCUCAGGUCUCCCAAGGUGGGCAAGUCUUAUUUAUACUUAACCUGAAUGGGGCAAGAGGGGGGAUGUUCAUCUUAGUGGGUCUUUUUCUUUGAUCCCCUGAGGAGGUUAUUCAAGAUCAGAGUCUCUUUUCCUUCCAAACUGCUUGGAGAUGUUUCCCAAUUUUUAAAAUCCAACCUGCUCAAUAGUCUUGUGUCUUAAAAACUAUGCUUCUUUAGAAAGGUGACAGGCAGUGGCAGCUGGAUCUUUCUGGUAGCCAAGUGCUCUGGGGAGAGGAGGGUUGAGAAUGAAUCUGAGCUUUUCCUUCUAAGUCUUUGGAUUUUGAGUAGCCCAAGAUGGCUCUCUUCACCACCAUGUUCUGAAGCAGGGGUGACUAUUUCUCUUCCUGAGGUUGGGGAGCUGAGUAUCACAGUUAGGCAACGGUGGGCCAUGCGCUGGUGAAAUGGAUCAAACAUACAGGCCACGAGGGAAAGCAGGAACAGGCCACAGACAGUCAGACCCAAGGCACAUGCUAUUUUCUGCCUUACUGAAAAGAUGAAACAUAGCUGUAUCCUGGCCGCUUCAACUGGCGGGAAAUGAAAAGUACAGAAAACCCAUCUACAAGAAGUAAAAUCAACAAGCACAAAGGGAGACAGAGGAAAGCUCUGGAGAAGUAAGAGCCCUCCUUGAUGUGAGCACAAGGGACCUCCAUGCUCCUACUUCUGCUGGUCUCCAUUUCACCAGGCGCCUCCCUCCGACUUCCAAUUGGCCACAAGCUUCGUCGCUCUCUCUCAAAGCAAUUUUGUGUGUGAGUAUAGUCAGAAGGCUCCAAAGGCAACAUCUGGGUCUGGUCACUGAAGACAGAUGGGCUCCUUCUACUUCUUCUCCCAUCCCCUGGAGGCCUCUGCCAGAGGGUAACAUGCUAUUUGAAUGUAAUGAUACGCUGGUGAAAUUUUACUGGCUAGUGUUAUGUUUAGUGCAUCCUUAUCUUUAGGACCCGUUCUGUACAGACCUCCUCAUUACAGAUGGAUUUCUCGAUUUCAAAACAUUCCUGGGCUUUCUAAAUGCUGUCAUUGAACUAAUUCUUAUGAUUUUUCUUCCAUUACUUUCUUUAUACUUCCAAGUCCUCUUUAUCUGACAUUGAACCUGAAGCCAGUUUCCUGAAAAUAAUCACUUGUGCUACUGUGGUUAUGAACCAAUAAAAGGUUCAGGGUUGAUUUGGAUUUAUUUUGUACUGUGCCAUCAUCAAAUCCUUGAUAUUUUCUCCGGGUGUGAAGACCUCAUACACUCAGACUUAACCUGUUUCAUUUUCCUCUUUUUCUUCCCUUUAAGGAACAAGGUCGAAAAUGUUCUACUUUGGUUAUAAGAACUAAGGUUUUCCUAGAGUAGUGAUUAGCAGUAAUAAAAAGGUUUUAUUAAACAUUAACAAAGAGCCAGAUGCAAAGGCAAGAGCUUUGGAGC
rnacentral:lncRNA from 10 species